rfam:Brachypodium distachyon strain Bd21 chromosome 4, whole genome shotgun sequence.
UAUGUACUCCCUCCGUCCAACAAAGGAUGUCUCAACUUUCAAUAAACUUGAAUGCAUCUAUACACUAAGUCAUGUUUAGAUACAUUCAAAUUUUGACAAACUCGAGACAUCUUUCGUCGGACAGAGGGAGUAUUUA